rnacentral:rRNA from 1 species
AGCGAACGCUGGCGGCAGGCCUAACACAUGCAAGUCGAGCGGGCGUAGCAAUACGUCUGCGGCAGACGGGAGAGUAACACGUGGGAACGUGCCCUUUGGUUCGGAAUAACUCAGGGAAACUUGAGCUAAUACCGGAUAAGCCCUUCGGGGGAAAGAUUUAUUGCCAUUGGAGCGGCCCGCGUCGGAUUAGCUAGUUGGUGAGGUAAUGGCUCACCAAGGCGACGAUCCGUAGCUGGUCUGAGAGGAUGACCAGCCUCACUGGGACUGAGACACGGCCCAGACUCCUACGGGAGGCAGCAGUGGGGAAUAUUGGACAAUGGGCGCAAGCCUGAUCCAGCAUGCCGCGUGGAUGAUGAAGGCCCUAGGGUUGUAAAGUCCUUUUAACGGGGAAGAUAAUGACGGUACCCGUAGAAUAAGCCCCGGCUAACUUCGUGCCAGCAGCCGCCGUAA